AAUGAAUACAUUCAAGUUUCCUUGUCAAAACAAACAUAGUGCAUUGGUAACCCUUGAUUUGUUUUGUUCAUAUAGCACUAUAAUCUGGCACCUAGGUCUCCCAAAUGACACCUAUGAUGGAAAUUUGUCAUGUAGCGCUCCCUCCAUCCCUCCCUUCGCCAUCUAGCACAGCAGUCAUACUGAGAAAAAGGGUUUUCGCGGAAUAUUUUUGUCAAUGGAUACUGUGACUUCAAUACCUCUUAUUUCUCCAUCCAUCAUCGUCACAUUUUCAACUGUAGUAAGUGGGUAGUCGACCGGCCACUACUGCAUUUGGAAUAAUAAGAAUGAAAAAAAAUCAACAUUGAACGUUUUGCAAAACACAUCUUGCACCUGAUAUUUUUCUACACAUGGCCUUCCCAAAAUGUUGCCAAAAUAAGCAAUUUCCACUUGCCUUGCUUGUUUACAAGCGGUCCCCCAUUUUUAGAUGAGUGCUAGCUAGCUAGCUAGCAAGCUCCGUGGAUGAACUCGUGUGCGCAUUUGUCAGAACAAGUCAAAAUUAAUAUUACUCAUCGUUUUUACGAUGAUGCUGCUUUGCCGCGCUUUGGCCAGUCUAUGUCGGCUUACGUAUCGACAAACGAUAGAAUGGUCGCCGCUCGAUAUCAGGCCACAUGCAGACAAAC